GCGGUGGAGCAUGUGGCUUAAUUCGAAGCAACGCGAAGAACCUUACCAGGUCUUGACAUCCCCUGACAACCCGAGAGAUCGGGCGUUCCCCUUCGGGGACAGGGUGACAGGUGGUGCAUGGUUGUCGUCAGCUCGUGUCGUGAGAUGUUGGGUUAAGUCCCGCAACGAGCGCAACCCUCGCCUCUAGUUGCCAGCAUUCGGUUGGGCACUCUAGAGGGACUGCCGGCGACAAGUCGGAGGAAGUGGGGAUGACGUCAAAUCAUCAUGCCCCUUAUGACCUGGGCUACACACGUGCUACAAUGGGCGGUACAAAGGGCUGCGAACCCGCGAGGGGGAGCGAAUCCCAAAAAGCCGCUCUCAGUUCGGAUUGCAGGCUGCAACUCGCCUGCAUGAAGCCGGAAUCGCUAGUAAUCGCGGAUCAGCAUGCCGCGGUGAAUACGUUCCCGGGCCUU
rnacentral:rRNA from 1 species